rnacentral:snoRNA from 1 species
CCCUCGGGUCCUCGAUUCGGCCUUCGGAUGAGCCGCAAUAUUUUCCUUAUAUGAUCGGGUCCCGUUGCUGCUUGCGCGGAGCCUGAGAGGAUUAUGAAACUGUGGCAGGCGAGGCGGGGCCGGGCAUCCGGGG